AUUGAACGCUGGCGGCAUGCCUUACACAUGCAAGUCGAACGGUAGCGGGCCUUCGGGUGCCGACGAGUGGCGAACGGGUGAGUAAUGUAUCGGAACGUACCUUUCAGUGGGGGAUAACGUAGCGAAAGUUGCGCUAAUACCGCAUAUUCUGUGAGCAGGAAAGCAGGGGAUCGCAAGACCUUGCGCUGAUUGAGCGGCCGAUAUCAGAUUAGCUAGUUGGUGAGGUAAAGGCUCACCAAGGCGACGAUCUGUAGCGGGUCUGAGAGGAUGAUCCGCCACACUGGAACUGAGACACGGUCCAGACUCCUACGGGAGGCAGCAGUGGGGAAUUUUGGACAAUGGGGGCAACCCUGAUUCAGCCAUGCCGCGUGAGUGAAGAAGGCCUUCGGGUUGUGAAGCUCUUUCGGCCGGGAAGAAAUCGUAUCAGCUAAUACCUGGUGCGGAUGACGGUACCGGCAUAAGAAGCACCGGCUAACUACGUGCCAGCAGCCGCCGUAACAC
rnacentral:rRNA from 1 species